GGAAUCCUCCACAAUGGGCGAAAGCCUGAUGGAGCAACGCCGCGUGUGUGAUGAAGGGUUUCGGCUCGUAAAACUCUGUUGUUAAAGAAGAACACGUAUGAGAGUAACUGUUCAUACGUUGACGGUAUUUAACCAGAAAGUCACGGCUAACUACGUGCCUG
rnacentral:rRNA from 1 species